UCUUGGUCAUUUAGAGGAAGUAAAAGUCGUAACAAGGUCUCCGUUGGUGAACCAGCGGAGGGAUCAUUAUCGAGUUAUUCAACUCCCAAACCCUAUGUGAACUUACCACUUGUUGCUUCGGCGCGCGCUUCGGCGCCGCCGAGGACACUUAAACUCUUUGUUUUUAUAAGCAUUUCUGAGUGGCCGAAAGGCAAAAAUACAAAUGAAUCAAAACUUUCAACAACGGAUCUCUUGGUUCUGGCAUCGAUGAAGAACGCAGCGAAAUGCGAUAAGUAAUGUGAAUUGCAGAAUUCAGUGAAUCAUCGAAUCUUUGAACGCACAUUGCGCCCGCCAGCAUUCUGGCGGGCAUGCCUGUUCGAGCGUCAUUUCAACCCUCGAGCCCGACUCUUUUGAGGACGGCUCGGCGUUGGGGGACGGCAGACUCCCCCCGGCAUCUCGCCGGGGACGCCGCCCCCGAAAUCUAGUGGCGGCCCUCCGAGGCGACCUCUGCGUAGUAACUUGUUCUCGCACCGGAAAGCUCAGAGCGGCCACGCCGUAAAACCCCAACUUUUUUCAGGUUGACCUCGAAUCAGGUAGGACUAC
rnacentral:rRNA from 1 species